CAAAAGAAUGCCGUCGCUUCGGAAGUGACCAGCCGAAACGAAGAAAAUAGUUUUGGAUUUGUGGACUCCUGCAGCCGAAAACUGUGGAUUCACUACCGACUGCUAUGAAGUACACUACUUCAACUGACCAAACCUCGAAUAUUAUUCCUCUUCAAUACCAGUGCAUUGCCGUGCGACGAACAACUGAAGACCUUCAGUGGCAAACCUAACGAUAUAGCAGCAAAACUAAGGAAUCCUGUAACAGCCCGG